rnacentral:piRNA from 1 species
UAUUAGUUAUCUACACUUUCA